rnacentral:rRNA from 1 species
GAUGAACGCUAGCGGGAGGCCUAACACAUGCAAGCCGAGCGGUAUUGUUUCUUCGGAAAUGAGAGGGCGGCGUACGGGUGCGGAACACGUGUGCAACCUGCCUUUAUCUGGGGGAUAGCCUUUCGAAAGGAAGAUUAAUACUCCAUAAUAUAUUGAUUGGCAUCAAUUAAUAUUGAAAGCUCCGGCGGAUAGAGAUGGGCACGCGCAAGAUUAGCUAGUUGGUGAGGUAACGGCUCACCAAGGCGAUGAUCUUUAGGGGGCCUGAGAGGGUGAUCCCCCACACUGGUACUGAGACACGGACCAGACUCCUACGGGAGGCAGCAGUGAGGAAUAUUGGUCAAUGGGUGCAAGCCUGAACCAGCCAUCCCGCGUGAAGGACGACUGCCCUAUGGGUUGUAAACUUCUUUUGUAUAGGGAUAAACCUACCCUCGUGAGGGUAGCUGAAGGUACUAUACGAAUAAGCACCGGCUAACUCCGUGCCAGCCGCCGCCGUAAUAC